UUUAACAAUCAGUUUUAGACCAUACCCAGUGCGAGGCUGGGGUGCUCUGGAAGGCCAGAGGGCUGUUCUGCAGGGUAAAGGGGGUGGUCUGGAGGGUAGAGGGGGUGGUCUGGAGGGUAGAGGGGGUGGUCUGGAGGGUAGAGGGGGUGGUCUGGAGAGCCAGUGGGAUGUUCUGGACGGUAGAGGGGGUGGUCUGGAGGGUAGAGGGGGUGGUCUGGAGGGUAGAGGGGGAGGUCUGGAGGGUAGAGGGGGAGGUCUGGAGAGCCAGCAGGAUGUUCUACAGGGUAAAGGGGAUGGUCUG